AGGGACAAACUGGGUGAGCUGCGUCGGGAGAAGCAGAAAUUGGUAGAGAAGAUCAUGGACCAGUACCGAGUUCUAGACCCAGCGCUUCCUCGUGGCAAAAAGAGUAACUGGAUCGCCGAGAAAAUAAGGAAGCUGAUGAAGCCCCGGCGGGAGAAUCCCCGCGAACAGUUGCGCCCCGUAGCUGAGGGAGCNGGCAGCAACGAAAGCUUGACGGGACAAGACGGAUGUGGGGCUGAUGAGAUAGUCUCCAGCACACCUAGCUCGCCAGCGACUUUACAGAAAAGCAGCAGCUCGCUCAGCAUCAUAGACGCGAGCCAGGUAUACUUCCGCCCCCGACGGCUAAGUUCACGGGUGGCAGGGAUGAACUCUGCGGGAGCAGAACAGAACUCGGCUCGUCAGAGAUUCCGCCAGCGGCGACUUGGGAUGUUAGGGGGUUCCCGCGAAGAAGCAGUUGUUGCCGGAGCAGUGGCUGAAUGGGAAACCCCAAGCCCAAUAUCUACAAGCCCAAAGGAUGAAAGAGGGCCACUACUGGGAGAGGAGAAGGAAGCCCCAGCGUGCCCACCCUGAUGUUUGGAAGGAAGAGAAGAUUGAGGCCCCGGAGGACGGAGACAUACCAAGGAUGGCAAAGCACAGGAUCUUAUGGGGAAAGGCGUUGAAAGUGCAAUAUGGAGAGCAGAUCCGUGGUACCAGUCAGCAAAAUAUGUCGGGUACUCUCCAAGGAAGCAGAGUCUCUUACGACAUUACUGAAGUACUAAAACAGAGGCAUCAAAAGAUGGAGGUCCCCCCAUGAGAACAUUCACCCUUGAGAUUCUCUACCUGCGCCAGCGUAAGGCCACAAAACCUGCUGAAGCGACCACCAGGGUCCCUCCCUGUUUCCUGCAGUGGUCGACCAGACGUUGAUUGCAUCUGAGAAGGCUGCAAGUAGCCCAGCAUCACGGAUCCUCUGCCGUCACAAUCUGCCUUCACCGCCUGCUUAACUGCCAGGAUAUGAAGGUUUCCAUUCAGCGAUCUUGACUGAUCAGCAGUGGAGAAAGUUGUCCUCUGUCCUUUUAAACACCCCCUUAAAGAAGAGAGAACAAAAAAACUACAUAAGCCAGGUUUGGGGAAAUCCAUUGUUAUUUCUGAAGGACCAGCCUGGAAACUGCACUAUAUUUUUUUUAAAGGAAAAUGUUUUUCCUCGUCUUCCCUGUGCUCUCCAAGGUAAUGUCUGCAGGGAACACCUGAGAAUUCCAGCUUUAUGCCAAUCUAACUUUCCUGAGAGUCAGACCAGAGAGGAUAUUUGUCACAGGUGUUUAGUAUUAUGUAACUUACCUUUGGAUGACAAGCAGCGGGUGAAGAUCAAAAUUGGGAGUGUACUGCAGGAUGGCAAAUUGGCCCAUUGAUGGGUCUAUUCACCUGGUAAUUCCAUUUGGUCAGGGGGUACAAAUAUUGGUUGGUUGGUUGGUUGGUUGG
rnacentral:lncRNA from 1 species